GCGGUGAAAUGCGUAGAGAUCGGGNGUGAGANANCAGUGGGCCGAAGGCGGCCCUUCUGGACUGACACUGACACUGAAGGUGCGAAAGCGUGGGUAGCAAACACCGAUUAAAUACCCUGGUAGUCCACGCCGUAAACGAUGUCAACUAGCCGUUGGGUCCCUUGAGGACUUAGUGGCGCAGCUAACGCAAUAAGUUGACCGCCUGGGGAGUACGGCCGCAAGGUUAAAACUCAAAUGAAUUGACGGGGGCCCGCACAAGCGGUGGAGCAUGUGGUUUAAUUCGAUGCAACGCGAAGAACCUUACCUACCCUUGACAUCCAGAGGACUUUCCAGAGAUGGAUUGGUGCCUUCGGGAACUCUGAGACAGGUGCUGCAUGGCUGUCGUCAGCUCGUGUUGUGAAAUGUUGGGUUAAGUCCCGUAACGAGCGCAACCCCUAUCCUUAUUUGCCAGCGAGUAAUGUCGGGAACUCUAAGGAGACUGCCGGUGACAAACCGGAGGAAAGGUGGGGACGACGUCAAGUCAUCAUGGCCCUUACGGGUAGGGCUACACACGUGCUACAAUGGCAAGUACAAAGGGUUGCAAUACGGCGACGUGGAGCCAAUCCCAUAAAGCUUGCCUCAGUCCGGAUUGGAGUCUGCAACUCGACUCCAUGAAGUCGGAAUCGCUAGUAAUCGUGGAUCAGAAUGCCACGGUGAAUACGUUCCCGGGCCUUGUACACACCGCCCGUCACACCAUGGGAGUGGACUGCACC
rnacentral:rRNA from 1 species